rnacentral:misc_RNA from 1 species
AAAGUGCUUGGAUUCUUUUACUAGACUGAGCUUUUUUUUUUUUGGAUUUAUGCCAUUUCUAAAAAUCUAGUGUUUAUUCUUCAUUGCAUGAAUUAAAUUCGUUGAAGUACUAUUUCCUUGAGUAGAAGUAAUCAUGCUAAGUUCAAUUUUAUGACUGCUGCUUAUAGUUUCUGCUCUUCAUUUUUAUGCAAGUCACUUUUGUUGGUGUGUUCUUGGAGCUGUGAUUGAUAUUGGGUAGAAACAUAAACAAGUAAGAUGGCACGAGUGAGGUAGAUCUUCGCUGAGAAAAAAAUUCCAUUUAACUGAUGUAUGAAGAGAGAAUUUUAACAAGGAAUGGUCGCCAUAUGAAUGGGAACAAGGCAGUUUGUAUUGUGAGGAUUUUACUGAGAUUUUGUUUUAUCAAAAGAAUAAUCAAGAGAUGUCUCCUCUUCGAUAUGUAUGGGAAGUGGGAACGAAGCAGUGGCGGGUAAGUUUCCUGCUGAGAUUUUGGACAUGUCAGGGAAAUAAUCAAUAAAUCUG